CUGUAAGUUAUCUAUCCCAUCAAAUUUGUUAUGACGAUCCACCACAUGAUCUUUAGUCAUUUUUACUCACAACCUUCUGCUUGUUUUGUUUUUGUUAGGAUCAAGCUAGUAAGGUUCCUCUCUAUUGGGGAAUUACAACUGAUGGAUACGUAGCAUUUGCUGAUGAUGCAGAUUUGCUUAAAGGUUCUUGUGGCAAGUCACUUGCUUCUUUCCCUCAAGGAUGUUUCUACUCUACAGUAGUUGGAGGAUUGAGAUGCUAUGAGAAUCCAAAAGAAUAAGAUUACUGCAGUACCUGUUGAGGAAGAGGAAAUCUGGGGUGCAUUCUUCAAGGUGAAAGGGUCAGCAGUCCUUGCAGGCACAGAGUAAAAGAUCCAUUUUCAAAUAGAGUACCGUGUGAUGCAUUAAUGGAGUAAUGUGUUUAUGUGCUUGUGACGGUAAGGCUUGCAUACGGGGCCAUGUAAAUACCUUUAAUGAUAACUAUGAGAAGAGUGCAACUGGUAGUAGAGUUUAU